rnacentral:rRNA from 1 species
AGAGCUUGCUCUCUGAUUCAGCGGCGGACGGGUGAGUAAUGCCUAGGAAUCUGCCUGGUAGUGGGGGACAACGUCUCGAAAGGGACGCUAAUACCGCAUACGUCCUACGGGAGAAAGCAGGGGACCUUCGGGCCUUGCGCUAUCAGAUGAGCCUAGGUCGGAUUAGCUAGUUGGUGAGGUAAUGGCUCACCAAGGCGACGAUCCGUAACUGGUCUGAGAGGAUGAUCAGUCACACUGGAACUGAGACACGGUCCAGACUCCUACGGGAGGCAGCAGUGGGGAAUAUUGGACAAUGGGCGAAAGCCUGAUCCAGCCAUGCCGCGUGUGUGAAGAAGGUCUUCGGAUUGUAAAGCACUUUAAGUUGGGAGGAAGGGCAGUAAGCGAAUACCUUGCUGUUUUGACGUUACCGACAGAAUAAGCACCGGCUAACUCUGUGCCAGCAGCCGCGGUAAUACAGAGGGUGCAAGCGUUAAUCGGAGUUACUGGGCGUAAAGCGCGCGUAGGUGGUUUGUUAGGUUGAAUGUGAAAUCCCCGGGCUCAACCUGGGAACUGCAUCCAAAACUGGCAAGCUAGAGUAGGGCAGAGGGUGGUGGAAUUUCCUGUGUAGCGGUGAAAUGCGUAGAUAUAGGAAGGAACACCAGUGGCGAAGGCGACCACCUGG